rnacentral:rRNA from 1 species
UACAGAGGUCCCAAGCGUUGUUCGGAUUCAUUGGGCGUAAAGGGUGCGUAGGUGGCGCCAUAAGUCAGGUGUGAAAUUUCGGAGCUUAACUCCGAAACUGCAUUUGAUACUGUGGUGCUUGAGGACUGGAGAGGAGACUGGAAUUUACGGUGUAGCAGUGAAAUGCGUAGAGAUCGUAAGGAAGACCAGUGGCGAAGGCGGGUCUCUGGGCAGUAACUGACGCUGAGGAGCGAAAGCGUGGGGAGCGAACAGG